rnacentral:rRNA from 1 species
ACGCUCGACACCUACGGGAGACAGCAGUGGGGAAUAUUGCACAAUGGGGGAAACCCUGAUGCAGCGACGCCGCGUGAAGGAUGAAGUAUUUCGGUAUGUAAACUUCUAUCAGCAGGGAAGAAAGUGACGGUACCUGACUAAGAAGCCCCGGCUAACUACGUGCCAGCAGCCGCGGUAAUCUGAGCGGGCUGGCAAGGC